rnacentral:rRNA from 1 species
AACGAACGCUAGCGGCAUGCCUAACACAUGCAAGUCGAACGAGACCUUCGGGUCUAGUGGCGCACGGGUGCGUAACGCGUGGGAACCUGCCCUUAGGUUCGGAAUAACUCCCCGAAAGGGGUGCUAAUACCGGAUAAUGUCUUCGGACCAAAGAUUUAUCGCCUUUGGAUGGGCCCGCGUUGGAUUAGCUAGUUGGUAGGAUAAAAGCCUACCAAGGCGACGAUCCAUAGCUGGUCUGAGAGGAUGAUCAGCCACACUGGGACUGAGACACGGCCCAGACUCCUACGGGAGGCAGCAGUGGGGAAUAUUGGACAAUGGGCGAAAGCCUGAUCCAGCAAUGCCGCGUGAGUGAUGAAGGCCUUAGGGUUGUAAAGCUCUUUUACCCGGGAUGAUAAUGACAGUACCGGGAGAAUAAGCUCCGGCUAACUCCGUG